rnacentral:rRNA from 1 species
GAUGAACGCUGGCGGCGUGCCUAAUACAUGCAAGUCGAGCGAACAGACGAGGAGCUUGCUCCUCUGACGUUAGCGGCGGACGGGUGAGUAACACGUGGAUAACCUACCUAUAAGACUGGGAUAACUUCGGGAAACCGGAGCUAAUACCGGAUAAUAUAUUGAACCGCAUGGUUCAAUAGUGAAAGACGGUUUUGCUGUCACUUAUAGAUGGAUCCGCGCCGCAUUAGCUAGUUGGUAAGGUAACGGCUUACCAAGGCAACGAUGCGUAGCCGACCUGAGAGGGUGAUCGGCCACACUGGAACUGAGACACGGCCCAGACUCCUACGGGAGGCAGCAGUAGGGAAUCUUCCGCAAUGGGCGAAAGCCUGACGGAGCAACGCCGCGUGAGUGAUGAAGGUCUUCGGAUCGUAAAACUCUGUUAUUAGGGAAGAACAAAUGUGUAAGUAACUAUGCACGUCUUGACGGUACCUAAUCAGAAAGCCACGGCUAACUACGUC